AGAACUUAAAUUCUUAUCUUUAGUAUUAAAAGGGUCCUUUAAAUUAAAAAAAUUUGGCGGUAUUUAAGUCUUAUUAGAGGAAUUUGUAGUUUAAUCGAUAUUCCCCGAUUAUCUUACCUUAAUAUGUAUGUCAGUUUAUAUAUCGUCGUCUUCAGAUUUCAUUUUUAGGUGUUUUCUAUAAAAUUUUCUUAAGUCAGAUCAAGGUGUAGCUUAUAUUAAGGUUACUAUGAAUUACAAUAAUUUUAAUUAUACGAAUAUUACUAUGUAAUUGGUAAUUGAAGGUGGAUUUAAUUGUAAUUUUAUUUAUUAUAU
rnacentral:rRNA from 1 species